AUACUAUAUGGUUUUACCUGCCCAAUGUUACGAUGAAUGGCCGCGGUACCCUGACCGUGCUAAGGUAGCGUAAUCAGUUGACCUUUAAAUGAGGUCAGGAAUGAAUGGAAUAACCGGGUUUAGCUGUCUCCAAAUCAUUAUAUUGAAUUUACUAUCUAAGUGAAAAAGCUUAGGACUUAAAAAAGGAGGAGAAGACCCUUAGAAUUUUUUUAAAAAGGAUUUUAAUUUCCUUACAGUUUUAUUGGGGCGAUAAAGAAAUAAUUAAAACUUUCUUUUUUAACAAGCCGAUUGUAUUAAGUAAGAAUAAAUUACCUGAGGGAUAACAGCAUAAUUCUACAAUUGAGUUUGUGACCUCGAUGUUGGACUAGGAAACCAGUAGGCUAGCCGUUUACUGUGUUAGGUUCUGUUCGAACUUUUAUUCCU
rnacentral:rRNA from 1 species